CUUUCCUGUCACUUUUGAUCCAUGCAGAGGGAAUGGACUGGAAGUUUGGAAUCACCGGAAAAUAACAAGGCAUAGCUAAGCUGUGACUAGCAAGAUAAACGAUUUGUUCGAGGUUUGAUUGUCCUUUCCCUCCUCCACUCGGAAGACAUAGUUGUCUUUUUUUAAAUCAUGUUUUGUACCGAAAUAUUUUUAUUUUAUAAUUGAAUCCCUGUUGUUGGGCCUUUAAAAACCCAUAGAAACAUUGUUAUGUGCCACGAAGGUGGGAAACACGGCUUUCUCAGUCAUUGCUGUACUCCCACAAUUCUGGGUCAUGCACACAAUACAGGUAUGAGCCACCAUGCCCAGCCCGGAACACUAUUAAAU
rnacentral:lncRNA from 1 species